rnacentral:tRNA from 1 species
GUCGCCUGGGCGCGACAGCGGCUGCAGCGGCGCACUGUCGGACGGCGUCGGCGAGCCCCGCACUCGUAAUGCGUAGGUCUCGGGUUCGAAUCCCGAAGGCGGCUCCA